CAAAGUCUCUGUUGCCCAGGCUGGAGUGCAGUGGCACGAUCACAGCCCACUGCAGCCUCGACCUCCUGGGCUCAGAUGAUCCUCCCACCUUAGCCUCCCAAGUAGCUGGGACUACAAGUGCACACCACCAUGCCCGGCUAAUUUUUUUGUAGAUAUGGGGUUUUGCCAUGAUGCCCAGGCUGAUCUCAAACUCCUAGGCUCAAGUAAUCCUUCUGCCUUGGCUUCCCAAAGUGCUGGGAUUAUAAGCAUGAGCCACCAUGCCAGGCCAAUAUUAUUCCCCAAAAGAAGGAAAUUGGGUGUGAGGUCCUGCUCCUAUGGUCACCAUGAGAUUUUUUUGUUUGUUUUGGACUCUUGCCCAGGCUGGAGUGCAGUGGCACGAUCAUGGCUCACUGCAACCUCAGCCUCCCUGGUAGCUAGGACCACAGGUGUGCACCACUAUGCCCAGGGAAUUUUUAAGUUUUUUGUAGAGACAGGGUCUCACCAUGUUGCCCAAGCUGUUCUCAAACUCCUGGCCUCAAGCAGUCCUCCUAUCCCAAAGUGCUGAAAUUACAGGCAUGAGCCACCACGCCUGGCCACCACUAGUUUUUGUAAUGGGAGCAGGUUCCAUAUGAGAUGGAGGAAUGGAUUUCAUGAUUGUCUUUGUAAUUUCUUAGGUCCCCAAGAAAUUGAUUGGACAUGAGGAAACCACUCUAAGUGUGACCACUCUAAAGCAUUAGCAGUCAGUCAUUUCACUCUAGGGAGAAAUCAGAGCUGUAUAUGGAGAAUAGGAUCUCUAUGAAGCACCAGAAUUAUCAGUGAAGAAUAUAUUAAAUGGCUCACGGGCUACUGUAAAGCAUAUUUCUAUCGCUUGAGAGUAAAACUGCUAGAACCAGUUCCUGUUUCUACAACAAGGUGUUCCUUUAGAGUCAAUGAGAACACACAAAACCUACAAAUUCAUGCAGGGGACAUCCUGAAGUUCUUGAAAAAGAAGAAACCUGAAGAUGCCUUCUGUGUUGUGGGAAUAACAAUGAUUGAUCUUUACCCAAGAGACUUGUGGAAUUUUGUCUUUGGACAGGCCUCUUUGACAGAUGGUAUUCCGUUUUUGGCAUUGUUGUUAGAAGCUUCUUCAACUUGAGAAUAUUUGAAGAUGUUAAAAGAGGGAAAAAAAUUCCAACCAAGAAUCAUAUUGAUAUUUAAAACUAUAGUAUUUUCAGUUGAGACAUUAUGCCAUAAUGGGAAGUGUGCUGUUGGUAGAUUGUGAUAAUCUAGGUUCUGGUUGGCCACUCACUACCUACAGGACCUUAAAGGCACUGGUGAGGUGGAUUGAUGAUGAAUCUUCUGGCACACCUGGAGCAACUCCAGAACACAGUCGUGAGGAUAAUGGGAAUUUACUGAAACCCGUGGAAGGAAGCCUUUAAGGAAUGGAAAGAGUGGAUAAUAAAAUGCCUGACUGUUCUCCAAAAAUAAGGACCUUCAAAUAGGAGUGAUUGAAAUAAAUGACUACUUGCAUGUUAUGCUUUCAUUUGGGUGGAAUACUUCAUCAGAAUAAACUAUUGAUCUUGUGCUGUGUCAAAGUAACAGACUAGAACCUUCUUUCAAGUACCUGAAUUGAAAUGAAACUCAUUUUGAAUAAUAAAAACUCUAGAAACUCUUUAUCUUCUCAUCUUACUGGCCUGGUCUGUGGCAGCAAGCACAUUAUUUCCAUUCCCCAAAUAUGUUUAGGUCUCCCAAGAAAGCUGGGACUGGCGGUAAUGAGCAAGUAAAUAACUUGAAAAAGAACUGUAGAUGCCCCAAGGAACCAACCAACAUAAUUUCCAGGGGGUGAUUUUGUUUUUAGAAGAGCUGCUCCCCUCUGUUAGGGCCAGCCAAGUCACAUUUUUGGACGUCCGUGGACUCUGAUCACCACAGCCCUCCUCUUCCGUGAGCCUUCCUUACUCUCUCGAGUGCAUUAGCUCAUUUUUUUUCUUUUGCUGGUUGUCACCUUAUUCCUGUUUUAGUUUUUAGCAGCUUAAAAUACGACCUCUCAGGAAUAUUUGCAAGUGAAAAUAACAAUGGUCCUUACACUACCACAACAUUUGGUGGUGGGAGUUCCGUUGCAGGUCUCAGCUAUAACAUAGUCAUUUAUGAGGGAUCUUACAAAUAGUGUGUAAUGGUAUUUAUAUUUGUGAGUGUUACACUUUCUCUAUAGACUUAGAGCAGCUUUCAGGUUUAUUUCAGUAAUAAUGUCUUUCUCACCUUCUCACAUUGUGAAGUGUUUACCUGAGUCAGGGAGAGAGUUUAAUGGGGUUAUCUGUCGGGGUGCCAUGAAUGCUGAUGAUGGUCUGCAGGUUGUGAACAUCAGCCCCAUUGCUACAGGGGUGGACAGGUGGAAAAGCUCAGACUUGACAAACCACCUCUGCUAGAUAGAUGUGUCUUGGAAAUCCAGAAAUUACAGUGAAUAUUUUAUGGAAUGCCAGUGAGCAGACAGCAUUUCCCACUUUCCUAUCUUACCUUGAGGGUAAGACUUAAAGGUAUUUUUUUUUCUUGUAAUUUGAAGCCUAAAUUCUUUGAUUGUUUGAUGUAUGCAAUAUGAUGUAAGGCACAUUUUAUACCCCUAGUCAGUGGUUUCCCUUGGAUUCAUUCUCCUACUUGAUUGAACCCAUUUAAGUCAUUUUAGGAAAUGGUGGUUUGCUAUUAAAAUUAAUUGGAGAGAAUACUUGGUCAUUCUGUUAGCAAAAAGAGACUGAUGGAGCAUGGUGUUUUAUGGAUUCUGUUACAGGGCUUAUUCCUCCUUGAAUAAUGUGCUUUAAAAAUUAUUGUCCAUUCGAUUACAUUUUCUUUUAUUUUCCUACAAUGUAAGCACGGUUUUAGUCCUGUAGGUCAGCCUUUCUCACAAACUCUUUUGAACUAAGAUUUGCCUAGGUGAAUAAAUUGGGGAUGACGGUUGUCUGGAGAAGAUAUAAGGUCCAUUUGUGAAUACUCUGCACUAUGAGACCAGGAGAAAAAUCAUCUAAGAAAUCGUUCACUCUUGCUAAAAACUGAACUAAAUUUUAUAUGAUGCAUUUAUUCAGCAAUCAUAAGUGCUGUGCAUAACUAUUGUACAUAUUUUUGGACAAUUUCUUAGGGUUCAGCUUAAAAAUAUAAUUUGCCUACUGCAACU
rnacentral:lncRNA from 1 species